CUACACGAGGGUCAUAUAGCUUCACUUGAUAUAUAGACUAACAUGUCAAAGUUCCUUUUGUACUCCUCAACAGUUCCUUCAAAAUUAACAAUUUUCUAGUGCAGUUUGCCCUCAAAUUCUACCACCACAUCAGCUGACCAAGUUGCCCCGCGUUUGAGCCACUGGUGCACGUCGUAGUACGACAGUGCUCUCAUGCUUAGCCUGCUGCAAUUGCAGGACGUCCGCAAUUGCAACCGCCUCAUCGAUCUCCCGGAAUUAAAAUCUUCGCCGCACCACCAGCCUGGCAGCUUCCAGAAGCUCGUAUAUAUCCCCUCCUCGCCAACCAAACCCAUCCGCGCUUCACCCUACCGUUGCCGUUGAGGUAUUUCCCCGAACACCUCGCCCGCGCCAACCCCACCGCCCUCCGCAAUGGUGAAAGCCGAAGCCGCACUGCGCAAGGAGGCGGAGGAGGUGCGGUUUCUCGAGAAGGAGGGCCACUACGAGCUCGCGCUCGAGCGCGUCGACGAGCUCGCGGCCAGGCACGCGGGUUCGGCGCUCGUGCUCCACCUCGCCGGUCGCACCCACCACGCCGCCGCCAGCCGCGCAUCCGCCGCGAGCGACAAGGUGGCCGCAACGCACCACGCCGCCGCCGCGGAGCGUUACCUCGCGGAGGCCAAGCGGCUCGUCCCCAACUGCGUCGGCAUCUCCGCUCUCCUGGCCAGGGUGCUGCUUGAGCGCGGGGAGUUGGGCGAGGCGGAUAAAGAGGCCAUCCGAGCCAUCCAUAUCCGCAACCCUACCGACCCGGCGGACAACAACGUCGUGUACACUCUGAACGCCCGCGGGAAGAACCAGAGGGUGGAGAGAUGCUGGGAAUCGGCUUGCGACGUGCUCCGAUCCAUUGUUGCCAGCUCCAUCCGCGAGGUGCUCGACCUCGACACCGACCAGAGCGAGGGGAUGACCCUGGCGGUGGAGAAAGCGACGGAGCUCGCCAACCGUUGCCCCUACUCGGCCGCGCGCAGUUGUUGUGCGCAUACAUGAAGCUCCAGUUUGCGCGCGGCCUUGACGCGACCAUGGACAGGAGGCCCAUACGAAGCGGCAAAGCGCUUCGAUCGCUCUCGUGCUCGCCAUGUUCCACGCAAAGCUCUGUUUCGUCCUGGGUUUCUAUGAGGCUGCUUUCUGUGAGUGUUUCAGGGCGUUUAGCUUGGGGCAACCUGCUGACCCCAAGUUGGAGGACGUCCCUACUGGAUCAAUCAAUGGAGGGGUGUAUGAUGAUAGGUUAUCUUCUAUCUACCAAGAUCUCUCGCGCUUAGAGAACAGGCUCUUGUUGGUGGCCAAGGUUCACUGGUGCUUAAUGACAAGUGAGAAGCAGGAUAGAUUCCUAUCAGUGCGACUCGAUGAGCUGCAUAAGUACUAUGAUGAAACUUAUGAAGAUGGCCACUGGGCUACGAGGACCAUAUCCGAUGCAUUGAAAUCUGUGACAAAAACCGGUCAUGGAGGUUCUGGAUUUGCCCCUAUUGUGUUGGCAAAAAGUUACCGGAUGCAUGUUCCCUCUUGGAACACAUGUACAGCAAGCACCCGGCACAGAAAGUCCUGCGGUCAGUCUUAGAUCCAAAACUGAGUGUUGAUACAUCCGUGGAUGAUAAUUCUUUGGAUGAGAUAUCUGUCUGCAAAGAUUCAGAGGACCAUUACUUGUUCCAAUUCAACAAGACGGACAAUAUAUUUGACUGUUUAUUUUCUUCAACACCUAGCAUAACUGAAGCAAAGUCAUUUGCUGAAAUACAAGAGGAGAAGUGCAAAGAAGGAAAGGAGAUCCUACAGAAACUGAAGUAGAUAUUGAAGAAUUUACCCACAAACAAACUGAGCGCUGAGUAUGAUAAGGCCCGUCCAGAUAUCCAAUGCUUGUUGCAUGAUUUCUUCACGACUUCUGCACUGGAUUAUCGCAUAAUCAUCUAUGGGUUUCUCAUGAAACCAUUCCUAUGGAGUAAAUUGAUUAUAUCCUUGGGUGAAGAUAAUGCCACCAGUAAGAGUAUUGACAAUGCUGAUAUUGAUGCGAUAUUUCCUGAGGUUGCUGUUGUCCGGUAUGUCCACAAACAGUUUCUCUUUGUAUUUCGGAUUUACUCAGUGUGGUCCUUUUACUAAAUUAGGUGUCGAGAAACCAGGUAUUUCAUCCCCACUGUUUCUGAUUUUGGACUGCAACCUACUGCAUAAUUUAGUGGUGCGUUUUAUACUGUUACAUAGAACUCUUUCUGCAAUAGUGAUAUGAUAAGGCAGACUGCAUUUAUCAACUAUAAUUGUUAUGAAAAGUUUGAAAUUCAUGUAUAUUUAUGUAUGAUGUCUAUUCCAUAAAAAUAUGCCAAAGCUAAUUUAAAACUGAGGGUAAAUUUUGGAAUUUUCAGAAUAUGGUGAUCCAGUCACCCUAUGGCUGAACAUGCAUUAAACCAUAAUGCAUAUUCAAGUGUGAAUAAAGUCAGGAUCUGAUUUUGGUUCAAGGCUAAUCCCUUUUUUUUUCCUUUUGAAACAAAAAAGGCUGCUAUAAUUGCAUCUCCUUUGUAUGGGAGAAUGGUGUCUGUCAUUUGGUGGUUACCUGAACUUUUGUUCUAGUUAGUUAUUUUCCAUAUGCUCCUUUCUCCUUACUGUAAUUUCAACUCUGUACAAAGAAACUGAUAAUAACUCUAAAACUGCAUGCUGACAUUUCUGAUUUCAGUUUUGUUUGCUAAUAUAGUUGUUACAAAUGAUUGUAAAUGUCUCUUUGAAGACUUUGUUGCUAAAAUCGUGCCUGUAUCUUGUAAAUUGAUAGAAGUAAAUGCAUAAGAGUAUCAUAAUCAAAUAGAUUCAGCAUGAUGCCUACACUACCAAUUCUUCAUGGUUAACUUGUGCUUUUGGUACUCAAAACUUUGAGCAAAGUUCCUUAUUUUUCACAUUUCAAAUGUAAACUUUUGGUGAAAUUUUGUCAAACCUAUGCAAUAAGUAUCUCCAUAUUUUGUGAUUAUAGAAAACCUUUAGUUAUUUUAUGUUUGAUCAUAUCGAACUCUGGUUACAAUGAAUCAAAUGGAAUUUGAAUUUCUACCAUGCAUACGGAGCAAAGUUCUAUCAGCUGAAUAUCUGGUCCUCCUUUUUGGAAGAUUUCUUUACUCUGGACAACUGCAUUUCUUUCAUUGGAUAAUUCGAAACCUAUUUUGUUUGUAGAAUUACACCUUUUUUCUUAAACAUAUUUUGUCUUUCAGAUUAUCAUAUGCACAGCUCACAAGUUACAUUAUUCUUGUAGUGGGAUACGUGUUGAAGUUAAGAGUUCUGGCGCCAUGGUAAAUAAAAAAGGGGAAGUAUCAGGUGAAAACACCAUUUUAGUGCAAAUCUGAAAACUUCCGUUCACAGCCGUCGGAUCCUAAAUAGAGGGCCAAGAUGUUAGGCAGGAUGCCCUCCAUCCACUUAAAGCACAUUUUGCGGAAACCCCCCUGUGUUAGUCUUCUAGUGACUCAAACACACCCCUCCUCCUACCUCCAGUCCAGCCAACCCCAUCCGACUCUGUCUCUUUGACCCGAGUUCCUCCAUUACUGCCUAGCAAUCCCUAAUCCCUAGAAGACUCCGCCGAGAGGACAGCGCCUUCUCCUCCGGCUUCCCCCGUCCUCCCCGCUCGCUCCCCUCUGCCCGCGCGAUUCCUUGCAGUCGUCCUUCUCGGCGACAGCGGCCCCUCGUUAUCAUCUGAGCAUGGAUCCAGCGAUGGCCAAUGAAGCACAAAGAAUCCACCUUCCUUUGGCUCUGCACAAUGGAUGUGUAUAUAUUUCUGGAUGCCCAUGGUUUGAAUUUUACUUUUGCUAUUGAUUUACAGAGUGAGCUCGCUACUCCCUUUUAGCAGUAAAAUUUCAACGAAGUGUGUGUUUACUGUUCAGUUUAUAUUGAGGAAGAUAUUAUGUACUGUUCAGUCUAAUUUUGAUGAAGACCACCGUCAGAGAUUUAUCAAUCCAACAAAAACAAUCAGAAAUCGAAAAUCGAAGUGAGGAGGCUGGAGAAGAAACAGGGGUUUCUAGAGGCUUGUGGAACACACACACCUCACAGUUCUGAUCUCUGUUUAUUUUUACAAUAUUAUAGUUUACAAAUAGAACCCUGGUAUUUCUUACUCACACCUACAAGUCCCUCCAACACUCUCCCUCAAGAUGAGGCAAAGAUAUCAAUAAGCCUCAUCUUGUCACAAGCAUUUACAAAGGACACAACGCUGACACCCUUAGUUAAAAUAUCAGCAAGUUGAUCAGAUGACCUGACAUAAGAUAUUUGGAGCAUCCCUUCAUCUAAUUUCUCUUUAAUAAAAUGUCUGUCUAUUUCAAUAUGUUUAAUCCGAUCAUGAUGAACGGGAUUAUUCACUAUGUUGAUGGUAGCUUGAUUGUCACAAUAUAGUUGAAUAGGUGCACCAUUAAAUAGUUGAAGCUCUGAGAGUAGUAUCCUUAACCACAUUAAUUCACACAAGCCUGAUGACAUUGAUCUAAAUUCAGCCUCUGCUGUUGAUCUUGCAACCACAUUUUGUUUUCUACUUCUCCAGCUAACAAGAUUGCCCCCAACAAAUACACAAUACCCAGAUGUAGACUUUCUAUCAUCUAGAUUACCAACCCAGUCGGCAUCAGUAAAACCUUCUAUCUCCAAGUUUCCAUGAUUAGAAAAUAAAAUCUCCUUUCUCGGGCAGCCUUUGAGAUACCGCAGUAUCCUACUUACUGCGUCCAUAUGACUAGCUCGGGGAUCAUGCAUAUACCUACUAACCACGCUCACGGCAUAUGCAAUAUCAGGCCUAGUAUGCGAUAGAUAAAUUAGGCACCCAACCAAUCUUUGAUACCUAUGUUUAUCAACCGGUUCGCCUGAGUCAGCCUUUAGGUGAUGAUUCUGCUCAAUAGGUGUGCUGGCAGCUUUGCAAUCUAACAUUCCAGUUUCUGUAAGCAAAUCAAGUACAUACUUUCUUUGUGAGAGGUAGAUACCUUGUGCACCAUAGGCUACCUCAAUACCGAGGAAAUAAUGGAGAUAUCCCAAGUCCUUGACUUGAAAUGAGCUUGCUAGAGCCUUCUUCAACCGCGCUAUCUCCUCAUCAGCAUUGCCUGUUAUCACAAUAUUGUUAACAUACACAAAGUAUAACAAUUUUCCCUUGAACAUAUUUAAAGAAUAAAGUAUGAUUUGCAUUGCUUUGUUGAUAAUCCCAACAGCAGAUUUCCUUUCGAAGUUUACCAAACCAGGCCCUCGGCGACUGUUUUAACCCAUACAAUGAUUUCUUCAAUCUACAUACUUUAUCCUUAGUUUCAUUAGUAUUAAACCCAGGAGGAAUCUCCAUAUAAACUUCCUCUUCCAGUUCCCCAUGCAGAAACGCAUUUUUCACAUCCAAUUGGAACAAUUUCCACUUCAGAUUUGUAGCUACUAAAAUUAAAGUCCUGAUAGUGUUCAUCUUUGCAACAGGUGCAAACGUCUCAUCGUAGUCUAUUCCGUAUGUCUGGCUAUACCCUUUGGCUACCAAUCUAGCCUUGUAUCUCUCUACCUUUCCAUCAGGAUAUAAACCAGGAUCUUGUAGCAGUUCCUCUGAGGAAACACCAAGCAUGUUCAACUAUCGUGAGAGUUCCCUUGUUCUCUGCCAAGAGAAAAAGGACAUCUUUAGCUUGCAUUCCAUCAUUCAGAUAUUAUGGAAUUUGAGGCAUUUCAGGGAUGAUUUUCUUAAGAGACAACCUGUCUGCUCCCCGUCAUGACAUGAUGCCCCUUGCAUUGCUCAGAUAUUAUACAAAAUCUUCUCUACUUGGGAGAAAAAUUAUUAUCAGAAAAUUUCUUAUCCACUGAUAUCCCUGAGGAACGCAAUAUGCCAAGUUUUAAGUUGUAGAAAUUCGUUUCAAAAUGUUGCAGAAAAUACAUCUCCUUACAUCGUAGCCACCAUUCUUAGGUUGUGUUUGUUUGGGCUGCAACUUCCUAGCGGCAGAUUCUACAGCUGCAGCUCCCAGAAUCAGCUGUGGCUGCUAGCUGCGGCUGGAUGGUCGGAGCUGUCUGAUGUCUGUUUGUUUCCGCGGCUUGUAUGUUGUAACUGCAACUGAAAUGUGCUGAAAUGACCUAAAUGACCACAUAGUUUUGUAGAUCAGGUAAAAGUGCUUACUACCGUUUUAAAUAUAAAUUUAGUGUUGUUUUUGUUGUAGAUGAUCAAUGUUUCAGUCCAUUAGACAAUUUAUACAUACGACAUUAAAUUUGAACACGUCAUAACAUAGAGUACGUUAAAAUUGAACAGACCAUAGAAUAAUAUGCUGAUCUCUUAGAAUAAUAAAGUAAUAGAACUUCUGAACCUAAAACUAGUGCGAGUGUUCAGUUACUUCAAUACGUUCAGUCUUUGAGCAUACCGUAGUAUAUGCUACCCAUUGGUCAUCUUCUCGACGGAUCCAAGAACUCAGACAGGACCUUCUCAACUCAAUUGCCAGAACUCAGACGGAUCCAAGAACAACAAACAGAUCGGCCAUCUUCUCGAGGCGGUUCGUGGGGGAGGCCGCUGGUGGUGGAGUCAGUUAGGGGUGGAGGGAAGAGGAAAGGGAGGGAGAGGAGCGGGAUGGGCAAUUGGGAAGGGGAGAAGAGGAGGUCCGGCCGCCGGAGAUCAACCAGGUGGCGACGCCCUUGGUCUGCAGCAGUGGCUGGUCGUCGGGGCUUUUUACAGUCUUUACAGGGAUUCGAGGUGGGGUGUAGAGUCGAAGAUGGAUGCCGCCGGAGAAGGAUUAGGAGUCAGGGACCAUGGCGGCUCCAUUCCUCGGCCGGAGGAGGAUGGCGGCGCCGGCAGCCGCAGAUCGGGCAACGGAGGCGGCGUCCAGGGAAGAAGGUUGGCGGCAGCAAGGGAGAAAGGAGAUAGAUAGAGGCGCCGACGCCCAGGGGAUAGGGUCAGCAGCGCCAGCGGUCGGAGAAGGAGGUGGCGGCAGCGCCCGGGCAGAGGUGGCGGCAGCGGGGAUGUUCUCUGCGUUCGAGGGCUAGUUCGGUCGGGCAAGGGAUUGGAAUAGAACGAACCGGUACGUGGCAUUUCUGCCGUUGUAUGUAGUUUGGUGGGAGGGUAAUUCGGUAAAAAGAGAAGUUUGGAGCUGCAGCUGCUGCAAGAAGCACCGAUUUGGUAGAUUCUCACGCGCAGUGUAUUAUUCGGAAGCGCUUCUUUGGAGCCGCUGCGUGGAGCUGGUCUAAAAUUAGGUGUUUGUUUGGGCUCCAGAUUCUACAGCCUAAAAGCAGUUGGAGCGGCUCCUAGGAGCCCAAACAAACGCACCCUUAGUCGAUUGCAUAUGCCAAAUGUUUUUAUGCAUAAUUUUAGCAAGUUCAUUGUUAUUGAUGGAAACACGGGCGAACCCGGGAGCCAGCCGGUGAACCCAGCAAAGGUGAUAUGCACUGAGCAAAUAAGCCGUGGGUGUCACACGUGUCUGGGCGUAAAAGAAUCUACUCCACGUGGCAAUAAACUUGAUGCCGAUUCACUUCAAACAGCAAAGGUCAAGUCAUUUGCAGAAGACAAAUGCGAGCAAUCUGGUUUGAAAGAUGUUGAUCUGUUUUUUUUGGACGGGACAGUGUUCUCUACACUAGUCUGUUACUGCUCUAGUGAGAGGGAAACCCAGGACAUGCUGCGCAAAUUGUUUGACUCCAUUAUUGAUAACCCUGGCAGCUUCGAAUUUUAUUGUCCAACUGAGGACACAAUGAAAUGUACUAUAGUCUCAAUGGUUUUCAGAGGAAGGUGAACAAUGAGGUAUUAUGCAUUAUUGGUCAACAUAAAUUGCCCUGAGAGUUACAGAUAGAACAUGUACCAGUUUGCAAUGAUGUUAUUUCCUGACUGGUGUUGGAUGAUAUGCUGUUUAAGAUGCACCCACAAUAUGUUAAAUCCCAGCAUACUUGUUGGAUGGUAUUGAGUACUAAUAAUCUGAGAGAGCUCAUAGAAGCAUCUCACUGCCCAAAAAUUGCAGUUGCUCUGAAGUCUGAAUCCCAGCAUACUUGUUGAUUUUUCUUAUGGCAAGGUUACAGGACAUGGAUACCAGUUUUUCCGAGAUAGUGUCGUCUGAGUUGGUCGCAUAUCAUAAUAUUUUGGGAAGUUUUCUCACUGCAACUUGUGUUGAAGCAAUUUUUUAGUCUUGGUUUCCUGGAAAUUGUUAGAUGGUCUAUGUGUGGCACUUUGGAUGCGCUCGUAAUUCAUUAUCUAAUUAUAUCUGGAUGAUUUUCAAGACAAGAAUUUGCGGUGUAAAUGGUCAUAUGUAUGGGUGGUACCGGCUAAAACAGAAACUGAAACUUCAGUGAUGUUGGUAUAUUGCUGAGCUUUUGAUUUCAAAGUUUCACCGAGUGUUCAUUGGAGAAGUGCCGCAUGGCUAGGAUUUGUGUAAGCAUACCUGUUCGUUGACAUGUUCCAAUCUUCAUUCAUCAUCUCCUUGCACACUUAUAGGAUACCGUAAAUGCAUAUGAUCCAGCUUAUGUAUAAAUCCUUUUACUGAUCUGCUAUCAGGAAGGGCAGCUUGUCACCUUUGCUCGAGCUGGGGACAAAUGGCUUGUCUAUGAAAAUAAUGAGGGUUUGCAGGAUUUUUCGUCCCGGACGGAUUUGCAAAAUUCUAGUUGUCUUGAUGUCCACCCUGGAGUCUUGUUUCUGAAGGUCGUCAAGUAGAUAGGACGCAUCCCCUCUUUCUCCAUAAAGACAUCCUCCCCACCUUUUUAGCUCCAACAAUGAACAAUAGUGUGGGAUCGACUACUCAAGGGCAAUCCCACAUUUCUGUUAGGGAAGGUUCCAUGCCACCCGGUACUCUGUUUGCGUUGAAACUGUACAGGGUGAUCUUUGGAUGAGAUGGUUCACGUUGGUUGGGUGUAUAUGAUGAUGGCACGAGACUCUUCUUUCGUUGCUCGUUUGUUUUGUGUUUGAUGAGAAGAAGAUGAUACAUGUCUGCAUGAUGGGUGUUUUACCAGCAAUACGGCCGGGGUAGGGCCCCAGGUAAUCCUGCUUAUGUUCUUGCUGCC